rnacentral:sRNA from 1 species
ACUUGCACCAGUGCCCAGAGAGGGGGUGCAGGCUGAGGAGCUGCCCAGAGCACCGCUCACACUCCCAGAGUACCUGAAGUCGGCAUUUCAAUGACAGGGCACCUUCAGCCUGCGGAAGCUAUGGGCCUUCACGGGGCCUGGCUUCCUCAUGAGCAUUGCUUUCCUGGACCCAGGAAACAUCGAGUCGGAUCUUCAGGCUGGCGCCGUGGCGGGAUUCAAAAGAUGGGGUCUCACUAUGUUGCUCAGGCUGCUCUUGAACUCCUGGACUCAAGCAAUCCUCCCACCUUAGCCUUUUAAAGUGCUGGGAUUACAGGCUUCUCUGGGUGCUGCUCUGGGCCACGGUGUUGGGCUUGCUCUGCCAGCGACUGGCUGCACGUCUGGGCGUGGUGACAGGCAAGGACUUGGGCGAGGUCUGCCAUCUCUACUACCCUAAGGUGCCUCGCACCGUCCUCUGGCUGACCAUCGAGCUAGCCAUUGUGGGUUCCGACAUGCAGGAAGUCAUCGGCACGGCCAUUGCAUUCAAUCUGCUCUCAGCUGGACGGUACCACCCCAGUGUACCCCAACUCUUCAGG